AUGAACGCUGGCGGCGCGCCUAACACAUGCAAGUCGAACGGCACCCCUCUCCGGAGGGAAGCGAGUGGCGAACGGCUGAGUAACACGUGGAGAACCUGCCCCCUCCCCCGGGAUAGCCGCCCGAAAGGACGGGUAAUACCGGAUACCCCCGGGCGCCGCAUGGCGCCCGGGCUAAAGCCCCGACGGGAGGGGAUGGCUCCGCGGCCCAUCAGGUAGACGGCGGGGUGACGGCCCACCGUGCCGACAACGGGUAGCCGGGUUGAGAGACCGACCGGCCAGAUUGGGACUGAGACACGGCCCAGACUCCUACGGGAGGCAGCAGUGGGGAAUCUUGCGCAAUGGGGGGAACCCUGACGCAGCGACGCCGCGUGCGGGACGGAGGCCUUCGGGUCGUAAACCGCUUUCAGCAGGGAAGAGUCAAGACUGUACCUGCAGAAGAAGCCCCGGCUAACUACGUGCCAGCAGCCGCGGUAAUACGUAGGGGGCGAGCGUUAUCCGGAUUCAUUGGGCGUAAAGCGCGCGUAGGCGGCCCGGCAGGCCGGGGGUCGAAGCGGGGGGCUCAACCCCCCGAAGCCCCCGGAACCUCCGCGGCUUGGGUCCGGUAGGGGAGGGUGGAACACCCGGUGUAGCGGUGGAAUGCGCAGAUAUCGGGUGGAACACCGGUGGCGAAGGCGGCCCUCUGGGCCGAGACCGACGCUGAGGCGCGAAAGCUGGGGGAGCGAACAGGAUUAGAUACCCUGGUAGUCCCAGCCGUAAACGAUGGACGCUAGGUGUGGGGGGACGAUCCCCCCGUGCCGCAGCCAACGCAUUAAGCGUCCCGCCUGGGGAGUACGGCCGCAAGGCUAAAACUCAAAGGAAUUGACGGGGCCCGCACAAGCAGCGGAGCAUGUGGCUUAAUUCGAAGCAACGCGAAGAACCUUACCAGGGCUUGACAUAUGGGUGAAGCGGGGGAGACCCCGUGGCCGAGAGGAGCCCAUACAGGUGGUGCAUGGCUGUCGUCAGCUCGUGUCGUGAGAUGUUGGGUUAAGUCCCGCAACGAGCGCAACCCCCGCCGCGUGUUGCCAUCGGGUGAUGCCGGGAACCCACGCGGGACCGCCGCCGUCAAGGCGGAGGAGGGCGGGGACGACGUCAAGUCAUCAUGCCCCUUAUGCCCUGGGCUGCACACGUGCUACAAUGGCCGGUACAGAGGGAUGCCACCCCGCGAGGGGGAGCGGAUCCCGGAAAGCCGGCCCCAGUUCGGAUUGGGGGCUGCAACCCGCCCCCAUGAAGUCGGAGUUGCUAGUAAUCGCGGAUCAGCAUGCCGCGGUGAAUGCGUUCCCGGGCCUUGUACACACCGCCCGUCACACCACCCGAGUCGUCUGCACCCGAAGUCGCCGGCCCAACCGCAAGGGGGGAGGCGCCGAAGGUGUGGAGGGUGAGGGGGGUG
rnacentral:rRNA from 1 species